rnacentral:rRNA from 1 species
CUCGUAGGCGGUUUGUCGCGUCUGCUGUGAAAUCCGGAGGCUCAACCUCCGGCCUGCAGUGGGUACGGGCAGACUAGAGUGCGGUAGGGGAGAUUGGAAUUCCUGGUGUAGCGGUGGAAUGCGCAGAUAUCAGGAGGAACACCAAUGGCGAUGGCAGAUCUCUGGGCCGUAACUGACGCUGAGGAGCGAAAGCAUGGGGAGCGAACA